UACGUAGGGUGCGAGCGUUGUCCGGAAUUAUUGGGCGUAAAGAGCUCGUAGGCGGUCUGUCGCGUCGGUCGUGAAAACUUGGGGCUUAACCCUGAGCUUGCGGUCGAUACGGGCAUGACUGGAGUUCGGCAGGGGAGACUGGAAUUCCUGGUGUAGCGGUGAAAUGCGCAGAUGUCAGGAGGAACACCGGUGGCGAAGGCGGGUCUCUGGGCCGAUACUGACGCUGAGGAGCGAAAGCGUGGGGAGCGAACAGG
rnacentral:rRNA from 1 species